rnacentral:tRNA from 1 species
GGGCCCGUAGCUCAGCCAGGAUAGAGCGCCGGCCUCCUAAGCCGGAAGUCGGGGGUUCAAAUCCCCCCGGGCCCGCCA